ensembl:snoRNA
UACACUUGUUUAUGUUUUUGUUUAACUUGUGGACAAAGACUUAUAGACAGGUGCAAAAACUAAAUCAUCUUUUCCAACCCAGAACUCAUGGUUUAGUAUGAGUUUUGAUACAUAUAAGAAGGCAUAUU